CCUUUGGUUUGAAUCUGAGUUUCAAGUUGGUCUCCUUAUUGUCCAAGGGAAAGGAUAGCCAGGUGGCAAGAAGACACUUCUAACUAUGAGCUGGAUGGGACAUCAUUUCUCCAGAUGGUGCAAGGACAUUUCCGUGCUCAGUUCACACUUACCACUCUUCUCACCCAUGCCCUCUGAAGAUGAGCAUUUAAUCUCGAACUUGAGGAGCCAUGUGCCAGCUCGUGUCGUGGUGAAACAGCCGAUCCGUGGAGCCAUUGGUAGGACCACAGUUGCAGCCAUUGUUCAGACUGGUGGGGACUGGAGCACCGGACUCUUCAGUGUCUGCAGAGACAGAAAAAUCUGUACGGGUUUCCUUUUUACUUAAGCGCCUCUUUACCAACUCUCCCCCAUUUUCAGUACUCCACCCCUCAGUCCACCCACCCCCAACCCCGAGGAAAAGCUACCCCAACACAAGGUCAAAAAGUAAACGAUUUCUGAGAAGCUC
rnacentral:lncRNA from 1 species